rnacentral:rRNA from 1 species
CCUGGUUGAUCCUGCCAGUAGUCAUAUGCUUGUCUCAAAGAUUAAGCCAUGCAUGUGUAAGUACAAGCCAAACUAAGGUGAAACCGCAAACGGCUCAUUACAUCAGUCACGGUUCCUUGGAUCAUGGAAACAACUUGGAUAACUGUGGUAAUUCUAGAGCUAAUACACGCUACCGGGUCCCGACCCUCACCGGAAGGGACGCCUUUAUUAGACCAGAACACCAACAUUUCCCUUGGUGAUUCUGAAUAACUCGCAGAUCGCACGGCCCUAGCGCCGGCGACGCAUCCUUCAAAUGACUGCCUCAUCAACUUUAGACGGUACGGUCUUGGCCUACCGUGGUGAUAACGGGUGACGGGGAAUCAGGGUUCGAUUCCGGAGAGGGAGCCUGAGAAACGGCUACCACAUCUAAGGAAGGCAGCAGGCACGCAAAUUACCCACUCCCGGCACGGGGAGGUAGUGACGAAAAAUAACGAUGCGGGACUCAUCCGAGGCCCCGUGAUCGGAAUGAGCCGGCUUUAAACCAGCCGAGCGAGGAGCCAUUGGAGGGCAAGUCUGGUGCCAGCAGCCGCGGUAAUUCCAGCUCCAAUAGCGUAUACUAAAUUUGUUGCGGUUAAAAAGCUCGUAGUUGGAUCUGUGUCUGCCGGCGGUCGGUUCGCCCACCGGGCGUGACACUGGCCGUCCGGCGGACGUUCUGGGCCGGAAUCACCGCUCGGGUGCUCUUUACCGAGUGCCCGGCGCGGCCGGCAAUUUUACUUUGAAAAAAUCAGAGUGCUCAAAGCAGGCACUGCCUGCCCGAAUGCCGAGUGCAUGGAAUAAUGGAAUAGGGCCUCGGUUCUAUUUUUGUUGGUCUGUUCCGAAACUGAGGCAAUGAUUAAUAGGGACAGACGUGGGCAUUCGUAUUGCGGCGUUAGAGGUGAAAUUCUUGGAUCGUCGCAAGACGAACCGCAGCGAAAGCAUUUGCCAAGAAUGUCUUCGUUAAUCAAGAACGAAAGUCAGAGGUUCGAAGGCGAUUAGAUACCGCCCUAGUUUUGACCUUAAACGAUGCCACCCAGCCAUCCGCCGGUGUUUAGCACCGAUGACGCGGCGGGCUGCCUCCGGUAAACCAGAGUCGGGUUCCGGGGGAAGUAUGGUUGCAAAGCUGAAACUUAAAGGAAUUGACGGAAGGGCACCACAAGCAGUGGAGCCUGCGGCUUAAUUUGACUCAACACGGGACAACUCACUAGGCCCGGACACCGGAAGGAUUGACAGAUUGAGAGCUCUUUCUCGAUUCGGUGGGUGGUGGUGCAUGGUCGUUCUUAGUUGGUGGGUCGGCCUGUCAGGUUUAUUCCGAUAACGAACGAGACAUUAGCCUGCUAACUAGUCGCCGGAAGUCCCCCGGACUUCCCGGUCCGAACUCUUCUUAGAGGGACGGGCUGUUUCCAGCAGCACGAAACAAUGCAAUAACAGGUCUGUGAUGCCCUUAGAUGUCCUGGGCCGCACGCGUGCUACACUGGUGGAGGCAGCGUGUCUUCCCUGGCCGAGAGGUCCGGGUAACCCGCUGAACCUCGACCGUGUUGGGGAUCGGGGCUUGGAAUUAUUCCCCGUGAACGAGGAAUUCCUAGUAGGCGCGAGUCACAAUCUCGUGUCGAAUAUGUCCCUGCCCUUUGUCCACACCGCCCGUCGCUACUACCGAUUGAAUGAUUUAGUGAGGGCUUUGGACUGGCGACCGGCGCCGCUUUCGCGGUUCGCCGAAUCGCCGGGAAGAUGUCCGAACUUGAUUAUUUAGAGGAAGUAAAAGUCGUAACAAGGUUUCCGUUGGUGAACCAGCGGAAG